rnacentral:rRNA from 1 species
AAGUAGGGAGGCGAGGUUGUCUGGGAAGGACCCUGGCGGCGAGACCAAGCCGGUGAUGACUGGUGGCAUGAUUAAGUGGGCGACGCAAGUCAGAGUGCUGGUGAUAAAGCGGAGGAGGAUGGGGAUGACGUCAAGUCAUCAUGGCCCUUACGACCAGGGCAACACACGUGCUACAAUGGGAUAUACAGAGGGAAGCGAGCAGGUGACUGUAAGCGAAUCUCAGAAAGUAUUUCGUAGUCCGGAUUGAAGUCUGCAACUCGACUUCAUGAAGUUGGAAUCGCUAGUAAUCGCAAAUCAGAAUGUUGCGGUGAAUACGUUCCCGGGCCUUGUACACACCGCCCGUCACACCAUGGGAGUGGAUUGCACCAGAAGUAGCCAGCUUAACGAAAGAGGGCGGUUACCACGGUGUGGUUUAUGACUGGGGUG